CGUGCCUCUCGCAUGCUGUUAAAUACUUAAGUUGAUGAUGAAUGUCCAUGUUUUCCUGAGCCAAUGAAAGGAUCGCAGCGCUCCCCAACGCACCCAGCCUGAGGCUGGGCACCUGGUAAUUGUGCAACCCACGCUUACUGAGUUGAAAUGAAUAGUUAAGCAAGGGUUAGACACAGAAAACUAAAACCGGGUGAGAGCUGAGUUAUGCAAACCACAGGUUUAUCGGUACGAUAUUAAGUUUCUUCACGUGGCUACCAAGGGACUUCCUCCCUGCCUGCAUCUCCAGCGUGGAUCCCUAAGCCAGAGAACUGAUUGUCUCCGUUAAGCCGUGUGUUCCCAUUGGAGCAGAGCUGUCAGUCCAGGCCGUGCCACAGGCUGCUGGUCAACCUGUGGGGAGGACCAGACAUGCGAGAAGAGGGACCUUGCUAUGUCCCCAGCUCACAAAAGAGUCCUGAUCACAUGGUGGAUUUGUGAUAAAUACUUGUUGGGUAAAUAAA